CUAACUAAGAGAGAAACUCGAAAAUAAAACUAUGAGUAUGACUACAGAGUCUCUAGGCAUCCCCUUCGUCGUCCUCCUGCGGAACGGGCUCGGGAACCAUGUCUUCCUGAUCUGAAAUGGUUAAAUAAGGAGUGAGCUACACUAGCCCAGUAAGAACAUCACGAUAUCUCACCGUCACGGAGGUAAAGGUGGGUAGAAAAACACAAAAAGACCAAUGGAGCAUAAUUUACAAUAAACUCGUUUAUUAACAUGAAAACCUUCACCAUCCACUUACCUCGGUGGAAUUUAUGAAAAUAAUAUAAGAAAAAUAAUAACAUUAUCAUAAUCAUGGAAUAAUAUAAGCUGUAAAACAUAACACUUAUCACGCCUCUUGUAAUUCAAUCAUUGUACAACAUAUCUUUUUCUCAUUUACCAGCCUACCAGUAUCCGUGGGGGUCCAUAGGGGUUCCGCUACCCGUUAACCUUUAACAUUCAUAAUCAGUUUCCAGGGCCGUCCCCAUACCCCGUCCGGUAUGGGCGCCAAAACCAUGAACCUCAAUACCCCGUCCGGUAUGAGGGUGAAACGGGCCGUCCCC
rnacentral:lncRNA from 1 species